rnacentral:misc_RNA from 1 species
GCAGGAGCUUCUGCAGCGCGGCGCGGCCGCCCUUGAAGGGCGCGGCGGCGUGCGCGGCGGGCUCGCCCCGGCGGCCCACCCCGAUGAGGAGCUCCUCCACGACGUCCCCCGUCUGCACCGUCUCGCUGCUCCCGGGCCCCCACUCCUCGGCCCGCGACCCGCCCGCGACGCACUCGAUCGCGACCACGCCUUGCCUCCUCCCGCUCUCCAUGGGCAUGCCCCCAGGCUCCUCUACGCCUCUUCGGCUCUCCCUCCCUCCUCACGAGUCGCGCUGCGUGGCUGUGAAUCAAGCAAGUAUCUGGGCAGCUCGCGCUGUUGACUUGUACAGGGCGCUGUCCUGUCACGCCGCCCUAACACCAACGCAAGGCAACACAGCA